CAGCCGCCGCGGGAAAACGAGGGGGGCAAGCGUUGCUCGGAAUUAUUGGGCGUAAAGGGUGCGUAGGCGGUUUGAUAAGUCUUGUGUGAAAUCUAUGGGCUCAACCCAUAGUCUGCACAGGAAACUGGGAAACUUGAGUGCAGAAGAGGAGAGUGGAAUUCCACGUGUAGCGGUGAAAUGCGUAGAGAUGUGGAGGAACACCAGUGGCGAAGGCGACUCUCUGGUCUGUAACUGACGCUGAGGAGCGAAAGCGUGGGGAGCGAACAGGAUUAGAUACCCCUGUAGUCCCUGUCUCUUAUAC
rnacentral:rRNA from 1 species